GCGGACUCGCUGGCAGUGGAGCGGGCUAUAGGGAUGGUGUAUGCGUGAGUCUGACGUAUGGGGCGGCAAGCGCGCGUAGGCGAUUUAGGAAGUGUUGUGGGAAAGCCGCGUGCUUAACUCGGGAAGUGAACCAGAAACUGUGGAAUUUGAGUUCCGGAGAGGAAGGCAGAAUUCCCGGUGUAGCGGUGAAAUGCGUAGAUAGCGGGAGGAAUACCAGUGGCGAAGGCGGCCUUCUGGACGGAUACUGACGCUGAGGCGCGAAAGCCAGGGGAGCAAACGGGAUUAGAUACCCGAGUAGUC
rnacentral:rRNA from 1 species